GCAAUGGUGGUUCAGUGGUAGAAUUCUCGCCUGCCGUGUGGGAGACCCAGGUUGGAUUCCUGGCCAAUGCA